UACGACGGGGGCUAGCGUUGCUCGGAAUCACUGGGCGUAAAGCGCACGUAGGCGGAUCUUUAAGUCAGGGGUGAAAUCCUGGAGCUCAACUCCAGAACUGCCUUUGAUACUGGGGAUCUCGAGUCCGGGAGAGGUGAGUGGAACUGCGAGUGUAGAGGUGAAAUUCGUAGAUAUUCGCAAGAACACCAGUGGCGAAGGCGGCUCACUGGCCCGGUACUGACGCUGAGGUGCGAAAGCGUGGGGAGCAAACAGG
rnacentral:rRNA from 1 species